rnacentral:piRNA from 1 species
UAGCCUCUGGAGAUUCAAAUUCUUGGGAC